CUAAUACAUGCAAGUCGAACGAGUUCUCGUUGAUGAUCGGUGCUUGCACCGAGAUUCAACAUGGAACGAGUGGCGGACGGGUGAGUAACACGUGGGUAACCUGCCCUUAAGUGGGGGAUAACAUUUGGAAACAGAUGCUAAUACCGCAUAGAUCCAAGAACCGCAUGGUUCUUGGCUGAAAGAUGGCGUAAGCUAUCGCUUUUGGAUGGACCCGCGGCGUAUUAGCUAGUUGGUGAGGUAACGGCUCACCAAGGCGAUGAUACGUAGCCGAACUGAGAGGUUGAUCGGCCACAUUGGGACUGAGACACGGCCCAAACUCCUACGGGAGGCAGCAGUAGGGAAUCUUCCACAAUGGACGCAAGUCUGAUGGAGCAACGCCGCGUGAGUGAAGAAGGCUUUCGGGUCGUAAAACUCUGUUGUUGGAGAAGAAUGGUCGGCAGAGUAACUGUUGUCGGCGUGACGGUAUCCAACCAGAAAGCCACGGCUAACUACGUGCCAGCAGCCGCGGUAAUACGUAGGUGGCAAGCGUUAUCCGGAUUUAUUGGGCGUAAAGCGAGCGCAGGCGGUUUUUUAAGUCUGAUGUGAAAGCCCUCGGCUUAACCGAGGAAGCGCAUCGGAAACUGGGAAACUUGAGUGCAGAAGAGGACAGUGGAACUCCAUGUGUAGCGGUGAAAUGCGUAGAUAUAUGGAAGAACACCAGUGGCGAAGGCGGCUGUCUGGUCUGUAACUGACGCUGAGGCU
rnacentral:rRNA from 1 species